rnacentral:rRNA from 1 species
ACGUAGGUGGCAAGCGUUGUCCGGAUUUACUGGGCGUAAAGCGCGCGCAGGUGGCCUGUCGCGUCCGAGGUGAAAUCUCCUGGCUCAACUGGGAGGGGUCUUCGGAUACGGGCAGGCUUGAGGAGAGCAGAGGUAGGCGGAAUUCUGGGUGUAGUGGUGAAAUGCGUAGAUAUCAGUUGGAGCGCCGGAGGCAAAAGCGGGUCACUGGGCCUGUCCUGACGCUAAGACGCGAAAGCGUGGGGAGCGAACAGGA